GAAGCCUCGGUGUCGAACGUCACUAUUUCACAUACAUUUAUUUAUUUGUGGCGACCCGCCACGAUGAAACAGACCGAUUUUCCAAAUUGCUUCGUUGAAUAAACAUGAGCACGUAAUGCACGUUUAAAAAUCGAGGCGCGGGUGUUUUUAUAUCACUGUAUUCCUGAAGGACAACUGUCUUUAGAAAAUGUUCGAUUUUCAUUUCAUCUAGCAAGUUAUAUGCCUGAUAAAGCAGCGUUCGUAAGCUCAGCGCUGCUUUGUGUAACGUACAGCCCAACAGCCGUUUCCGGGGAAAACUCUAGUUCUCUGCCUUAAAGCGAUCCUGCUGGCAGAGAAUGGAUUUGCAUUUUUAAUAAGUCCGCAAGUAGUUAUCGCUGCAUCUCAGUCCAUCUGAUUUACGCAGCAAACAUAUUUUGCUUGUUAUCAAAACAUAAUCUACUCUAGAGGGACUUAUUUGGAUGUCUACCGGAAGUUGAGUUAGGGCCACAAAAGCGCGCAUGCGCAGUAACGUUUGUUUAUGUUGUUGCCGUUGAAACCGUCUAUAGAAAAAAACAUUUUCAAUAUAAUCUUUGUUUAUAGGUUAAACUUUUUUUGAACGUUUGAAAUAUCAGUAUUUUUUUUUUUUACACACACCUGUCGUUUUGUUUCAAAAGACUUUGAUUCAUCAACCGGAGUCAUGUGGAUUGCAGUCUUCUUCGCUUUGUGUGGUUUUUGAGGCGUUAGAGCCUCUGCACUGAUGUGGAUGAACCUGUAGGUGGCGUGGCAGCUGUACUUCCCGUUAUCACUUUGUGUGGCGUUGGUGAUGGUGUAUGUGCCUUCAGAUGAGCUCGGGAUUUCUGAUUUAUCCUUAUAGAAGACAACCUUUUCCAGCUUCGCUCCACCCCAGACUACACACCUGAGAGCCACAGGCUCCCCCUGCAGCGCAGGAACGGCCGGAGGAACCAACAUCACCAUGAGCUCUGAGAAACAGACCAAACACAGACUGAUGGGAACUAGCUGACAGAAAGCUGGAAAGAGCAGCCUGCAUAGUUAAUAGAGAAGUGGACUGCAAAUUCAGCGGAAGAGACAUGCGAUCACUCUGUGUUCAAAUAGCAAAACAAUCCCUUGUUUGUAAAUGGUUUCGCAGAAUUGUAUCUUAUGAUAAUGUAAGCACAACAAAAGAGAUUUUGAAAAAUGGUUCAUGGGUUGCUUGUUUUGAACACCAUUGACUUUCAUUGCAUGAACACAAACAGUCAAAACAUUCUUCAAAGUAUCUCUUUCUGUCUUCCACAGAAGAAAGUAAGUCGUUCCAGGUUUAGAACAUAAUGAAUUUGUACACACAGGUGCUGAAAUACAACAGGAAGUGAAGU